rnacentral:pre_miRNA from 1 species
AAAAAGGCAAACUCUAGAUUUCUGUGUCCAACUUUAACUAUCCGUCUUAUAUGAAAUUUUUUUAUAAUUUAAAUUUUCAUUGUUGUUAGAUGAUAAAACAUGAUUAAUAUUUUAUGCGUAACUUGUCUUUUUAAUUUUUUUUAUAAUUUUUUCAAAUAAGACGGACGGUCAAAAGUUGGACACGGAAACCAGGGUUUGUCUUUUU